rnacentral:rRNA from 1 species
UACGUAGGGUGCAAGCGUUAAUCGGAAUUACUGGGCGUAAAGCGUGCGCAGGCGGUUUUGUAAGUCUGUCGUGAAAGCCCCGGGCUCAACCUGGGAAUUGCAUUGGAGACUGCAAGGCUUGAAUCUGGCAGAGGGGGGUAGAAUUCCACGUGUAGCAGUGAAAUGCGUAGAGAUGUGGAGGAACACCGAUGGCGAAGGCAGCCCCCUGGGUCAAGAUUGACGCUCAUGCACGAAAGCGUAGGGAGCAAACAGG